GGAAGUAAAAGUCGUAACAAGGUUUCCGUAGGUGAACCUGCGGAAGGAUCAUUAUUGAAUUUCUGAGGGGGAGGGGAGGAAAGAUGGAAAGCGAAGACUGUCGCUGGUCCCUCGGGGCAAUGUGCACGUCUUCCUUUUCGUUGACCUUCCUCUUUCUCUCACCACACACACACCUUGUGCACCUAUUGUAGGUCCUCGAAAGAGGAUCUAUGUUUUUUCACAUCACACCCGUCGUAUGUCUACAGAAUGUAAUCGAGAACGUCGACCUGUUUCGACAGGCUGGCGGUCCAUAAAUCAUACAACUUUCAGCAACGGAUCUCUUGGCUCUCGCAUCGAUGAAGAACGCAGCGAAUUGCGAUAAGUAAUGUGAAUUGCAGAUUUUCAGUGAAUCAUCGAAUCUUUGAACGCACCUUGCGCUCCUUGGUAUUCCGAGGAGCAUGCCUGUUUGAGUGUCAUCGAAUUCUCAACCAUGUCUUGAUUUAUUUCGAGCCAUGGCUUCNACUUGGGGGUUGCUGGCGGCGCAAAGCUGUCGGCUCUCCUGAAAUGCAUUAGCAAAGGGUGGCAAGUCUUUUGACGGUGCACGGCCUUCGACGUGAUAAUGAUCGUCGUGGCUGGAGCGGUCAGACAUGCAUGAAUCAUCCAGUGCUUCCAAUUAAUUCCAUCUGGCCUUGGGUCGUUCAGUCUACUAGUUGGUCGUGAGGCCGACGAACGUUGAGCAGCCAAGGGGGGGGGGUUGGUGUCUUUCGAAACUUGACCUCAAAUCAGGUAGGACUACCCGCUGAACUUAAGCAUAUCAAUAAGCGGAGGAAAAGAAACUAACAAGGAUUCCCCUAGUAACUGCGAGUGAAGCGGGAAGAGCUCAAAUUUUGAAUCUGGCGGUCUUUGGUCCGUCCGAGUUGUAAUCUAGAGAAGCGUCUUCCGCGCUGGACCGUGUACAAGUCUCCUGGAAGGGAGCGUCNUAGAGGGUGAGAAUCCCGUCUUUGACACGGACUACCAGUGCUAUGUGAUGCGCUCUCGACGAGUCGAGUUGUUUGGGAAUGCAGCUCAAAAUGGGUGGUAAAUUCCAUCUAAAGCUAAAUACAGGCGAGAGACCGAUAGCGAACAAGUACCGUGAGGAAAGAUGAAAAGAACUUUGGAAAGAGAGUUAAACAGUACGUGAAAUUGCUGAAAGGGAAACGCUUGAUGUCAGUCGCGUCGUCCGGGGAUCAACCUUGCUUCUCGCUGGGUNUAUUUCCCGUCGACGGUCAGCAUCAGUUUCGGUCGUCGUACAAGGCGAGGGAAUUG
rnacentral:rRNA from 1 species